UACGUAGGGGGCAAGCGUUGUCCGGAAUUAUUGGGCGUAAAGAGCGCGUAGGCGGUCCGGUAAGUCGGUUGUGAAAGUCGGGGGCUCAACCCUCGGAUGCCGAUCGAUACUGUCGGGCUAGAGUCCGGAAGAGGCGAGUGGAAUUCCUGGUGUAGCGGUGAAAUGCGCAGAUAUCAGGAGGAACACCGGUGGCGAAGGCGGGUCUCUGGGCCGACACUGACGCUGAGGAGCGAAAGCGUGGGGAGCGAACAGG
rnacentral:rRNA from 1 species